UACGUAGGGUGCAAGCGUUGUCCGGAAUUAUUGGGCGUAAAGAGCUCGUAGGCGGUUUGUCGCGUCUGCUGUGAAAACUGGGGGCUCAAGCCCCAGCCUGCAGUGGGUACGGGCAGACUAGAGUGCGGUAGGGGAGAUUGGAAUUCCUGGUGUAGCGGUGGAAUGCGCAGAUAUCAGGAGGAACACCGAUGGCGAAGGCAGAUCUCUGGGCCGUAACUGACGCUGAGGAGCGAAAGCGUGGGGAGCGAACAGG
rnacentral:rRNA from 1 species